AGUAAUAUGUCUGAAGAUAUAAAGUAAUAAAUUGUAAAUUUAUUUAUAGAGUUAAACUCUUAUUACUA
rnacentral:tRNA from 1 species